rnacentral:rRNA from 1 species
GACGAACGCUGGCGGCGUGCCUAAUACAUGCAAGUCGAGCGAAGUUUUUCUGGUGCUUGCACUAGAAAAACUUAGCGGCGAACGGGUGAGUAACACGUAAAGAACCUGCCUCAUAGACUGGGACAACUAUUGGAAACGAUAGCUAAUACCGGAUAACAGUAUUUCUCGCAUGAGAGAUAUUUAAAAGUUGGUUAUGCUAACACUAUGAGAUGGCUUUGCGGUGCAUUAGCUAGUUGGUGGGGUAAAGGCCCACCAAGGCGACGAUGCAUAGCCGACCUGAGAGGGUGAUCGGCCACACUGGGACUGAGACACGGCCCAGACUCCUACGGGAGGCAGCAGUAGGGAAUCUUCCGCAAUGGGCGAAAGCCUGACGGAGCAACGCCUCGUGAGUGAAGAAGGAUUUCGGUUCGUAAAGCUCUGUUGUUAGGGAAGAAUGGAUAUGUAGUAACUAUACAUAUAAGAGACGGUACCUAACCAGAAAGCCACGGCUAACUACGUGCCAGCAGCCGCGGUAAUACGUAGGUGGCAAGCGUUGUCCGGAAUUAUUGGGCGUAAAGCGCGCGCAGGUGGUUUAAUAAGUCUGAUGUGAAAGCCCACGGCUCAACCGUGGAGGGUCAUUGGAAACUGUUAAACUUGAGUGCAGGAGAGAAAAGUGGAAUUCCUAGUGUAGCGGUGAAAUGCGUAGAGAUUAGGAGGAACACCAGUGGCGAAAGCGGCUUUUUGGCCUGUAACUGACACUGAGGCGCGAAAGCGUGGGGAGCAAACAGG